UAGGACUUGGUGUAAUGGGUAGCACAGAGAAUUUUGGAUUCUCAGGGGUAGCUUCAAUUCCUUAGUUCUAG
rnacentral:tRNA from 1 species